CAGGAUGUCACCUAUCUGCACAGGGUGGUACCCACCUAUAGGAGAAAAAAGGGGGAAAGUCAGAAUACACAAAGUAAUCAUUAUCUUUUUUUAUUUGCUAUCUUUCUUGGGUUUGAUAUGUGUGUGUGUGUGUGUGUUUUGUGACACAUUAUAAUUUUCAUCUGCUGUUCUGAGAGCUUUAGAGAUGGAGGGCUAAAAUGUGACACUAAAGCUAUUUCUGGUAUUACGACUUCCUCUGAGCCGUAACAUGUCUGUAGUGAGUAAUACAUUCAAAUCUGCCAGCGGGACACUGAAAAAUGAUGAUGCAUAAGCCUGUAUCAGCUCUCUUACAGCCCGCGUGACACACACUUCUUGGACAUUGUCAGAGAUCUGGAAAUUGAAUCUCUUUUUCUAUUAAAAAUGAACAUGAUAUGAGCUGGUUUAUGAUUUAUUACUGUGUCAGGUAUCUGUGGUAUCACAUACUCAGCAGCUUAUCUGCCUCAGAGAGGUACUCGCAGAGUCCCGCACAGCUGGCAGGGAGAGAAAGGAGGAACAGAGGGGACCAAGGUCAGAGUGGGCGACAAGAUACUGCAGGUUCAAGAGAUUUAUACGAAGAGGGGAACAAGGCUGGGUGAGGCGAAGACAGCCAUGAGAAGUACUUUAAGAUCACAACAAAUUGAAAAUGUGAUUUAUGGAGCGGAAAGUUCAAGAUCUGAAUGUUUGAAUGUUGCCUCAAAAGGGAGUUUAUCAAAGGAUUUACACUGUAUCAUCUAAGAGGUAAUAUUCAAGUAUGUAGGUGAUCAAAAUGGAAAGGAAUUUUUUUUGAAUAGUUUAAAGGUCACAUAUUAUUCUCCUUUUCAACCAGUGUAAAUAAGUCUCAGAGGUCCCCAAAACAUGUGUGUGAAGUUUCUUGUUCUAAAACCACUCUGAUCCUGUAUUUGAUCAUGUCUAUAAACCCCUCUAUUUCAGCCCUGCUCAGAACAGGCUGUUUCUGUGUCUGUACCUUUAAAUAUGUAAAUGAGCUGUGUCUGACCACGCCCCCUCUCUGGAAGGGCUUGGGUGUACUCGGUGCUUUCUCGCUCCAUGUUCUAUUGUUUACGGUGAGAAGGCAGACUCAGAGGUGUCACCCACCUGGGGGAGGGGCUACUGCCCUUUGUGAUGUCAUGAAGGAAAAAUCUCCAAACAGCCUGUUUGAGCACACAUUUUCUGAAAAGUGGAGCAGGAAAAAGAUGCAGAGGAUGGACUUUUCUCAUCAUUGGGGGGUU